AUUGCAGGUUCAAGGCCAUAGCAGAAGCGCUCGUGACGAGGCCUGUCAUAUUCUAACGAAUCUGUGAAUUCUGCU
rnacentral:ribozyme from 1 species